CCUACGGGAGGCAGCAGUGAGGAAUAUUGGUCAAUGGACGCAAGUCUGAACCAGCCAUGCCGCGUGCAGGAAGACGGCUCUAUGAGUUGUAAACUGCUUUUGUACGAGGGUAAAUCCCGAUACGUGUAUCGGGUUGAAAGUAUCGUACGAAUAAGGAUCGGCUCACUCCGUGCCAGCAGCCGCGGUAAUACGGAGGAUUCAAGCGUUAUCCGGAUUUAUUGGGUUUAAAGGGUGCGUAGGCGGUUCGAUAAGUUAGAGGUGAAAUCCCGGGGCUAAACUCCGGCACUGCCUCUGAUACGGUGGGGCUAGAGUUUAGUGGCGGGAGGAGGAAUGUAUGGUGUAGCGGGGAAAUGCAUAGAGAUCAUAAAGAACACCGAGUGAGAAGGGAGUUUACCAAACUACGACUGACGUGGAGGCACGAAAGCGGGGGGAGAAAACAGAAUUAGAGACCCGGGUAGUC
rnacentral:rRNA from 1 species